rnacentral:rRNA from 1 species
AAAGCACCAAGGAGCAGGUAUCAGGCACAACCCAUUAGCCCAAAACACCUUGCUACGCCACACCCACACGGGCACCCAGCAGUGAUAAAUAUUAAGCAAUGAGUAAAAGCUUACUAAAGCUCGACUUAGUUAUGAUUAUUAGGGCCGGUAAACCUCGUGCCAGCCACCGCGGUUAUACGAGGGGUCCGAAACAACAGACACCGGCGUAAAUUGUGACUAGAGCACCUACUUAUAUCAUUGGAAAAUAAACAAAAACUCAAUCGUAAAACCUGAGCCAAAAGAAACACACUUUUCCAACUACAAAGAAGCUUGAACCCACGAAGACUAAGAAACAAACUAGGAUUAGAUACCCUACUAUGCUUAGUUGUUAAUAUGAUACCAAAAACACUGGUAUCCGCCAGAAAAUUACACGCGAAAAGCUUAAAACUCAAAGGACUUGGCGGUGCUCCGCAUUCGCCUUAGAGGAGCCUGUCCUAUAAUCGAUAACCCACGUUUUACCUUACCAUCUUUUGUCAAAACAGCCUAUAUACCGCCGUCGCAAACUUACCCCAUAAGGGCAUAACAGUAAGUAAAACAGUAAUACACUAACACGUCAGGUCAAGGUGUAGCUAAUAAGAUGGAAGAGAUGGGCUACAUUUUCUAAAACAGAAUACACGGCAAAGAGCAUUGAAAUAUGCUCUAAAAGGUGGAUUUAAUAGUAAGAUAGAAAAGAAGACCUAUCUAAAAA